GCCCGAUUGUCUUCUCAGACCGGCCUUAGCCCAUUAUCCUAGACAUCACCUUCUGGAGACCUUUUCGCGAGCUGGCCGCAGCCCGUCACUCUAGAAACCCGUUCAUGAUGGAUCCGUCAUCCUAGUACCGCAGCUCUCUGUCGAGCCCUCUCUUCCUUCACUAAAAUCAGUAACUUGUGGAUGUCAGAGCACAUCAGCCAGAAGCCGUAUGUUAUAAAAUAGUAAUUAAACUUGCUCAUCUGUGGAACCUCUAUAGAAUAAUAGUUUCACAAUCACUUCAAAUUUAAUUCACAUCAACAUCAGAUUGGCAUCAAACAAAGUUGAUCAUAAAAUCAUUGCUUACUUACACACGGUGGUCGUUGUGACAAUUCCACCCACCACUACAAGUAAGCAGUAAUUGUAUUUGACAAAUAAA